GCUGUUCCUUAUGCCUUCAUCACAUCCUUCCUUUGAGCCAAGUGCUCUGCAGUACACAAUCCACAUCAGUGUAAUUAGCACUUCUCAAAUUGCUGUGGUGUGUCAGUAUUGUUUCCAUUUACUGACAGUGCAACUUCUCAAACCCAAAUCACUUAUGAUGUAACCCCUUCUCUGCAAGGGAUCAUUAAACCAUGGAACAAUAAACUCACACCAAUGUUCUACCAUCACAAUACAGAACUUUUGUUUUACUUGUGAUAUAAAUUUAAAACAACAGAUCUGUUAAAGACUGG